rnacentral:rRNA from 1 species
AUUGAACGCUGGCGGCAUGCCUUACACAUGCAAGUCGAACGGCAGCACGGGAGCAAUCCUGGUGGCGAGUGGCGAACGGGUGAGUAAAGUAUCGGAACGUGCCCAGUCGUGGGGGAUAACGUAGCGAAAGUUACGCUAAUACCGCAUACGAUCUAUGGAUGAAAGCGGGGGAUCGCAAGACCUCGCGCGGUUGGAGCGGCCGAUAUCAGAUUAGGUAGUUGGUGGGGUAAAGGCUCACCAAGCCGACGAUCUGUAGCUGGUCUGAGAGGACGACCAGCCACACUGGGACUGAGACACGGCCCAGACUCCUACGGGAGGCAGCAGUGGGGAAUUUUGGACAAUGGGCGAAAGCCUGAUCCAGCCAUGCCGCGUGCAGGAUGAAGGCCUUCGGGUUGUAAACUGCUUUUGUACGGAACGAAAAGGUUUGGCCUAAUAAGCUGAGCUCAUGACGGUACCGUAAGAUUAAGCACCGGCUAACUACGUGCCAGCAGCCGCCGUAACAC